CAGCUUAUGACAAAACAUUCACCCACCAAUAACUACCAUGAAGACAUAAAUAACCUUUGUACAUAAAUUGAAAUUAAAU